rnacentral:rRNA from 1 species
GAUGAACGCUGGCGGCGUGCCUAAUACAUGCAAGUCGAGCGAACGGACGAGAAGCUUGCUUCUCUGAUGUUAGCGGCGGACGGGUGAGUAACACGUGGAUAGCCUACCUAUAAGACUGGGAUAACUUCGGGAAACCGGAGCUAAUACCGGAUAAUAUUUUGAACCGCAUGGUUCAAAAGUGAAAGACGGUCUUGCUGUCACUUAUAGAUGGAUCCGCGCUGCAUUAGCUAGUUGGUAAGGUAACGGCUUACCAAGGCAACGAUGCAUAGCCGACCUGAGAGGUGAUCGGCCACACUGGAACUGAGACACGGUCCAGACUCCUACGGGAGGCAGCAGUAGGGAAUCUUCCGCAAUGGGCGAAAGCCUGACGGAGCAACGCCGCGUGAGUGAUGAAGGUCUUCGGAUCGUAAAACUCUGUUAUUAGGGAAGAACAUAUGUGUAAGUAACUGUGCACAUCUUGACGGUACCUAAUCAGAAAGCCACGGCUAACUACGUG